UGAAAUUGAUAUUUGAGACAU
rnacentral:piRNA from 1 species